rnacentral:rRNA from 1 species
UUACAACGAAGAGUUUGAUCCUGGCUCAGGAUGAACGCUAGCUACAGGCUUAACACAUGCAAGUCGAGGGGCAUCAGGAAGAAAGCUUGCUUUCUUUGCUGGCGACCGGCGCACGGGUGAGUAACACGUAUCCAACCUGCCCUUUACUCGGGGAUAGCCUUUCGAAAGAAAGAUUAAUACCCGAUAGCAUAAUGAUUCCGCAUGGUUUCAUUAUUAAAGGAUUCCGGUAAAGGAUGGGGAUGCGUUCCAUUAGGUUGUUGGUGAGGUAACGGCUCACCAAGCCUUCGAUGGAUAGGGGUUCUGAGAGGAAGGUCCCCCACAUUGGAACUGAGACACGGUCCAAACUCCUACGGGAGGCAGCAGUGAGGAAUAUUGGUCAAUGGGCGCUAGCCUGAACCAGCCAAGUAGCGUGAAGGAUGAAGGCUCUAUGGGUCGUAAACUUCUUUUAUAUAAGAAUAAAGUGCAGUAUGUAUACUGUUUUGUAUGUAUUAUAUGAAUAAGGAUCGGCUAACUCCGUGCCAGCAGCCGCGGUAAUACGGAGGAUCCGAGCGUUAUCCGGAUUUAUUGGGUUUAAAGGGAGCGUAGGUGGACUGGUAAGUCAGUUGUGAAAGUUUGCGGCUCAACCGUAAAAUUGCAGCUGAUACUGUCAGUCUUGAGUACAGUAGAGGUGGGCGGAAUUCGUGGUGUAGCGGUGAAAUGCUUAGAUAUCACGAAGAACUCCGAUUGCGAAGGCAGCUCACUGGACUGCAACUGACACUGAUGCUCGAAAG